rnacentral:misc_RNA from 1 species
CGACCCUGGAGCCCCCCGGGCUCCGCGUUGGGGCGUCCCACGGCCGCCGUGGACCCCUAAUAUCAGUGGCGGCGCUGCCGCGCUCCCUGGGUGUAGUACAUCAUCUCGCCCGGAAGGAGACGGCGGUGUCAUGCCGUUAAACCUCAGGCGCCGAAAGGCGCUCUGAAUCUUAA